rnacentral:lncRNA from 1 species
AAAACAUCCUUUCAUGAAGAUCAAAUUCAAAUACUCCUACGUUCAAGAAAUACGCCACUAAAGGUCCUCAGAUUACGGAGAAAUUCAUAUCAAAUCCUACGUUCGAUAAAUAUGUCACUGGCAAUCCUCGAAUUAUGGAGAAAAUCAAGAGAGAAGAAAUACGCCACUAAAGGCCCUUGGAUUACGGAGAAAUUCAUACAAAUCCUACGUUCGAUAAGUAUGUCACUGACAACCCUCAAACUAUGGAGAAAAUCAAGAGAGAAGGAUCAAGGGAGGAACAGAUUUGUAACCAC